ensembl:lncRNA
CUGUGUUCUACUUCUUGCAAAGAUCCGUGUUUUGUGUGCUGUUGUUAUGACAACAUCCUGAAAUUACCCUGGCAACCUAUAGGGCUCUUUAUAUGCGUCUUUUUGGCUCAGGAAUCUUGGAAAGGGAUUUUUAAGCCUAGACUUGGAUUUAAAUAACCCAACUCUGUCCUCAAACGCACCAUGUUCUUUGAUCCCUGAGCAUGAGGAGCUGGUAGCCAUACAGUCUGUAGAGCUUACAGAAGAGGCCGAGUCGGAGAAAGACCCACUGGCAGACAGCGGUUACAUCGAAUUCCACUAUUAUCAAUGUGAACAAUAUCAGUAUCUGGUGCUGCCUGGGAACAGCGACUUGGACCUGGAAACGGUUGAGAUCCUCCAACUUGAUGCAGAAGCACAGGAAGCUGCAGGAUCGCUGCUCGAUUUAGCGGGAGGAAGCCACUGAUACUCUUGAUAGAAAUUAAUGGAUAAGGCCAUACAGAUUGUGUAGGCAGCAUGUACUGUACAUUUUCAGGAAUGAAAAUUUCAGGCAAAAAUUGUGCUGGAAAGAGGUUAAGGUAAAUGAGGGGGCUGUGUAUGAACAGCUUUCAUGUAUUGCAGUUUUCUGACUCUCAAGAUUCAAAAAUGAAAGCACACACCACUGUUAAAACAAAACAAUAUUGUGGUUGAUCAAGACAUUUAUCAGACAGCACUUUUUUCUAGCCAGAGAAGACAUAAACUUUGAAGACAAAGUUUAUUAAUAUAUCCACUGGGUUGCAGGGUUUAUUAGGUACAGCUACCUUGUCGCUUCACUUAGUACUAGCUAACCUUAUCAUAAACUUCACUGAGUAACUGGCGCAGUGGAAAGUGAUCACCACAGGAUCAUUGCUGACCAGAGAUCAUACCAACACAACUGCCAUAACUGCUGGACUAAAAUUAAAAAUUGUCUGAAUAAUAUAUGAUUAGUAAUGGUCCUAAAAUGGUUCUUUUUCCAUUAAUGAAUGGGAUAGACUUCAUGUGACUAACUGAUUGCCGUGGGUUGCCAUCAGUUAUUGGACUUGCAUGGUGGUUGUAACUAAUGAACUAACAAAUCAGUACAAUUGUAAGUAUAAGAAUGAACCUCCUUGUUUUAUAAUGAUAUAAAUGAUAUAUUACAUUUAAUAAUGGUAUAGUGAUAUUAAAGGAAAAACUGCCAGUAACUCAGCUUUUUUAUUAGGAUGUUUUAGACUCUUUUUUUCCCACCUCUUUUGAUUAUUAACAUUAUAAUGUCAACGUGUUCUUAGUGCACCAUAUUUUAUUGUUAAUUUGUUUAAAUUGUUUAGUGGUGUGAUUAGCAGCUUGAACCAAAAUGCCUCCAGAUGUUGUUUAUAUGUAAAGGCACUUGAUAAUAAAC